rnacentral:rRNA from 1 species
CAGUCGAACGCGUCUUGGUUAUUGAUGUUAGAUGCUUGCAUUUAACUGAUUUAACAUUGAGACGAGUGGCGAACUGGUGAGUAACACGUGGGUAACCUGCCCUUGAAGUAGGGGAUAACACUUGGAAACAGGUGCUAAUACCGUAUAACAACCAAAACCACCUGGUUUUGGUUUAAAAGAUGGCUUCGGCUAUCACUUUAGGAUGGACCCGCGGCGUAUUAGCUUGUUGGUAAGGUAACGGCCUACCAAGGCAAUGAUACGUAGCCGACCUGAGAGGGUAAUCGGCCACAUUGGGACUGAGACACGGCCCAAACUCCUACGGGAGGCAGCAGUAGGGAAUCUUCCACAAUGGACGAAAGUCUGAUGGAGCAACGCCGCGUGAGUGAUGAAGGGUUUCGGCUCGUAAAACUCUGUUGUUGGAGAAGAACAGGUGUGAGAGUAACUGUCCACAUCUUGACGGUAUCCAACCAGAAAGCCACGGCUAACUACGUGCCAGCAGCCGCGGUAAUACGUAGGUGGCAAGCGUUGUCCGGAUUUAUUGGGCGUAAAGCGAGCGCAGGCGGUUUCUUAGGUCUGAUGUGAAAGCCUUCGGCUUAACCGGAGAAGUGCAUCGGAAACCAGGAGACUUGAGUGCAGAAGAGGACAGUGGAACUCCAUGUGUAGCGGUGAAAUGCGUAGAUAUAUGGAAGAACACCAGUGGCGAAGGCGGCUGUCUGGUCUGUAACUGACGCUGAGGCUCGAAAGCAUGGGUAGCGAACAGGAUUAGAUACCCUGGUAGUCCAUGCCGUANACGAUGAGUGCUAAGUGUUGGAGGGUUUCCGCCCUUCAGUGCUGCAGCUAACGCAUUAAGCACUCCGCCUGGGGAGUACGA